rnacentral:rRNA from 1 species
UACGUAGGGUGCAAGCGUUAAUCGGAAUCACUGGGCUUAAAGCGUGUGUAGGCGGACUUCUAAGUGCCUUGUGAAAUCCCACGGCUCACCCGUGGAACUGCUGGGCAUACUGGGAGUCUUGAGCCACCUAGGGGCGAGCGGAACAAAUGGUGGAGCGGUGAAAUGCGUAGAUAUCAUUUGGAACGCCAACGGAGAAAUCAGCUCGCUGGGGGUGUGCUGACGCUGAGACACGAAAGCCAGGGGAGCGAACGGG